GCUUAGAUAGUUAGCUAGAUGUCUUGUCUGUGGCAGGUGUUUCUUUUUCAAUUAAUGGACACACAACAGGCAGAAGAAGCAAACUCACAAGAGCAGCGGUGGAGAUUUAUCUGAAGAACACUGGAGAACAGCAAGCAUGUAGAGCUCUGUUAGUCCUGUGUUUGUCUUUUACAGACUGGAGUGCAGCAUGAAGAGCAAAUGGGAAUCACCUACCUCAGCAAUGACUGGACACUGAUGGUCAAGAAUAUCAUUCAAAAACAGAUGAAUGGGUGCAUGGAUGGAUGUCCUUCCUAGAGGAAGGGGUGGUGGUGGGCAUAGAUUGUUGGAUAGAUGUCUUCUCUGUGGCUGUUAUCUACAUUGUAGCGAAUGGAAUUAAGAGCAUCGGUGGAGUUUUAUCUAAAAAUUGCUGGAGCUCAGCCAGCAGGUAGGGCUCUGUUAGUGCUGUCUUUGUCUUUUGCAGAUUGGAGUGCAGCAUGUGGAGACAAGUGGGAAUCACCUACCUCAGCAAUGACUGGACACUGAUGGUCAAGAUUAUCCUUCAACAACAGAUGGAUGGGUGCAUGGAUGGAUGUCCUUCCAAGAGGAAGGGGGUGGUGGUGGGCAUACUGUAGAUUGUCAGAUAGAUGUCAUCUCUGUGGCUGUUAUUAACAUUGUAAAUAAUGGAUACACAACAGGGAGAAGAGGGAGACUCACAAGAGCAUUGUGGAGAACAGCUUACGCACUGCAGGAGCUCAGCCAGCAGAUUAGACUGGGGCAUGUGGAGAAAUAGGAAUCACACCUCAGCGAUGACUGCAAACUGAAGACUGGAGUGCAGCAUGUGGAGAAAAAUGGGAAUCACCUUCCUCAGCAAUGACUGGACACUGAUGGUCAAGAAUAUCCUUCAAAAACAGAUGGAUGGGUGCAUGGAUGGAAGUCCUUCCUAGAGCAAGGGAGAGAAGAGGGAGACUCACAAGAGCAUAGUGGAGAACAGCUUACGCACUACAAGAGCUCAGCCAGCAGGUAGGGCUCUGUUGGUGCUGUCUAUGUCUUUUGCAGAUUGAAGUGGAGCCAAAGAAGGAGACUCACAAGGAAACAGUGGAGGUUUAUCUGAAGAACACUGGAGAACACUGUUUAUUGCUGGAGAUCAGCCAGCAAGUGGAGCUUUGUUAGUCUUGUUUUCGUCUUUUCCAGAUUAGACUGGGCAUGUGGAGAAAUAGGAAUCACUCCUCAGCGAUGACUGCAAACUGAAGGUCUGGUUAGGUAUUUCCUGAAUGGAUGGGUGAAUGAAUGAAUGAAAAAUAGAUGUCCUUUCAAGAGGAAGGGGGUGGUGGUGGGCUUAGAUAGUUAGCUAGAUGUCUUGUCUGUGGCAGGUGUUUCAUUUUCAAUUAAUGGACACACAACAGGCAGAAGAAGCAAACUCACAAGAGCAGCGGUGGAGAUUUAUCUGAAGAACACUGGAGAACAGCAAGCAUGUAGUGCUCUGUUAGUCCUCUGUUUGUCUUUUGCAGACUGGAGUGCAGCAUGUGGAGAAAAAUGGGAAUCUCAGCAAUGACUGGACACUGAUGGUCAAGAAUAUUCUUCAACAACAGAUGGAUGGGUGCAUGGAUGGAUGUCCUUCCUAGAGCAAGGGGUUGGUGGUGGGCAUAUUGUAGAUUGUCAGAUAGAUGUCAUCUCUGUGGCUGUUAUUAACAUUGUAAAUAAUAGAUGCA